AGUGAACGCUGGCGGCGUGCCUAAUACAUGCAAGUCGAACGAUGAAGUCCUAGCUUGCUAGGAUGGAUUAGUGGCGCACGGGUGAGUAAUAUAUAGUUAAUCUGCCCUACACAGAGGAACAACAGUUGGAAACGACUGCUAAUACCUCAUACUCCUAUUUGACAUAAGUUAAAUAGGGAAAGUCUUUUCGGUGUAGGAUGAGACUAUAUCGUAUCAGCUAGUUGGUAAGGUAAUGGCUUACCAAGGCUAUGACGCGUAACUGGUCUGAGAGGAUGAUCAGUCAAAUUGGAACUGAGACACGGUCCAAACUCCUACGGGAGGCAGCAGUAAGGAAUAUUGCGCAAUGGGGGAAACCCUGACGCAGCAACGCCGCGUGGAGGAUGACACUUUUCGGAGCGUAAACUCCUUUUAUCAGGAAAGAAUAAUGACGGUACCUGAUGAAUAAGCACCGGCUAACUCCGUG
rnacentral:rRNA from 1 species